GAUGAACGCUAGCGGCAGGCCUAAUACAUGCAAGUCGAACGGUGUAGCAAUACACAGUGGCGCACGGGUGCGUAACACGUAUGCAACCUACCUUACAUUGGGGGAUGGCCUUUCGAAGGGGAGAUUAAUACCGCAUAAGACAGUAACUAGGCAUCUAGUAGCUGUUAAAGAUUUAUCGAUGUAAGCUGGGCAUGCGUCCAAUUAGUUAGUUGGCGAGGUAAUGGCUCACCAAGACGAUGAUUGGUAGGGGAACUGAGAGGUCAAUCCCCCACACUGGCACUGAGAUACGGGCCAGACUCCUACGGGAGGCAGCAGUAGGGAAUAUUGGGCAAUGGGCGCAAGCCUGACCCAGCCAUGCCGCGUGCAGGAAGAAGGCGUUAUGCGUUGUAAACUGCUUUUAUACAGGAAGAAACGACCCUUGCGAGGGGCAUUGACGGUACUGUAUGAAUAAGCACCGGCUAACUCCGUGCCAGCAGCCGCAGUAACAC
rnacentral:rRNA from 1 species